rnacentral:rRNA from 1 species
GAUGAACGCUGGCGGCGUGCCUAAUACAUGCAAGUCGAGCGAACGGACGAGAAGCUUGCUUCUCUGAUGUUAGCGGCGGACGGGUGAGUAACACGUGGAUAACCUACCUAUAAGACUGGGAUAACUUCGGGAAACCGUAGCUAAUACCGGAUAAUAUUUUGAACCGCAUGGUUCAAAAGUGAAAGACGGUCUUGCUGUCACUUAUAGAUGGAUCCGCGCUGCAUUAGCUAGUUGGUAAGGUAACGGCUUACCAAGGCAACGAUGCAUAGCCGACCUGAGAGGGUGAUCGGCCACACUGGUACUGAGACACGGUCCAGACUCCUACGGGAGGCAGCAGUAGGGAAUCUUCCGCACUGGGCGAAAGCCUGACGGAGCAACGCCGCGUGAGUGAUGAAGGUCUUCGGAUCGUAAAACUCUGUUAUUAGGGAAGAACAUAUGUGUAAGUAACUGUGCACAUCUUGACGGUACCUAAUCAGAAAGCCACGGCUAACUACGUG